UGGGGAAUUGUUCACAAUGGGCGCAAGCCUGAUGACGCAACGCCGCGUGGGGGAUGAAGGUCUUCGGAUCGUAAACCCCUGUCGAAUGGGACGAAUAGCCCGCGAAUUAAUACCCCGUGAAACUGACGGUACCUGCAGAAUAAGCACCGGCUAACUACGUGCCAGCAGCCGCGGUAAUACGUAGGGUGCAAGCGUUAAUCGGAAUUACUGGGCGUAAAGCGUGCGCAGGCGGUUCGGAAAGAAAGAUGUGAAAUCCCAGAGCUUAACUUUGGAACUGCAUUUUUAACUACCGGGCUAGAGUGUGUCAGAGGGAGGUGGAAUUCCGCGUGUAGCAGUGAAAUGCGUAGAUAUUAGUAGGAACACCGAUGGCGUAGGCAGGUUACUGGAUCGCAACUGACACUGAGGCACGAAAGCGUGGGGAGCAAACGGGGAUUAGAUACCCAUGUAGUCCCUGAGCGGGCUGGCAAGGCGCAU
rnacentral:rRNA from 1 species